rnacentral:rRNA from 1 species
UACGUAGGGGGCGAGCGUUGUCCGGAGUUACUGGGCGUAAAGGGCAUGCAGGCGGUCGGACGCGUUUUGUGUGACAGCGGGUGGCUCAACUACGCGAGCAUACGAAAGACGGUUUGACUUGAGGGCUCGAGAGGGACACGGAAUUCCGGGUGGAGUGGUGAAAUGCGUAGAUAUCGGGAGGAACACCUGCGGCGAAGGCGGCUUCCUGGACUGCAACUGACGCUGAGGCGCGAAAGCUAGGGGAGCAAACAGG